UUUGAACCAGGAUUAGAUACCCUGUUACUUGUUUUUAAAAAAUUUUGGAUCAGUAGUGAUUAUUAAAUUUAAUGGAUUUGGCGGCAAGAUAGCCCAUUUAGAGGAACCUGCCCUGUAAACGAUGAACCACGAUAAACUUUACUUUAAUUAGAAACCAGUUUGUAUACCGCUGUUGUUAGUCAGUUUCCAUAGAAGACUUUCAAUAAUGAUACGUUCAUUGACUUCAAGUAAAGGUGCAGCUUAUAUUAAAGAUAGAGGUGGGUUACAAUUAUUAGAAUAAUUACGGAUAGUAGGAUGAAAAAUUACUUGAAGGUGGAUUUAAUUGUAAAAUUUAUAAUAAUUUGACUUGAGCACUGUUUUGUGUACACACCGCCCGUCGCUCUCUUUUAUAAA
rnacentral:rRNA from 1 species